UGAGGACGUCUACUAGGAGCAUGCGGGCGAAGUAGGCGAGGAGGCGAGAUGGACGCACAACACCGUCCAGACGUAUAGGAGUGCAAAGCAUGCUCGUUCCAUUUGAUCCUGUCCGCGCACUGAGUCGAUGGAAACUGGGGACGUGGCGCUCUUUGCUGCUCCCCGGUGAUCUUCGCAACGUCGUUGUAACACCCACAAAAUUAUAAGAUAAGUAUAUGAGUGUUAUUUGCUUUA